rnacentral:pre_miRNA from 1 species
CACCUACUCCCUCCGUUCUGAAUUACUUGUCUUGGAUUUGUCUAGAUACGGAGGUAUCUAGCACUAAAAUGAUUCUAGAUACAUCCGUAUCUAGACAAAUCCAAGACAAGUAAUUCGGAACGGAGGGAGUACCUU